rnacentral:rRNA from 1 species
GAUGAACGCUGGCGGCGUGCCUAAUACAUGCAAGUCGAGCGAACGGACGAGAAGCUUGCUUCUCUGAUGUUAGCGGCGGACGGGUGAGUAACACGUGGAUAACCUACCUAUAAGACUGGGAUAACUUCGGGAAACCGGAGCUAAUACCGGAUAAUAUUUUGAACCGCAUGGUUCAAAAGUGAAAGACGGUCUUGCUGUCACUUAUAGAUGGAUCCGCGCUGCAUUAGCUAGUUGGUAAGGUAACGGCUUACCAAGGCAACGAUGCAUAGCCGACCUGAGAGGGUGAUCGGCCACACUGGAACUGAGACACGGUCCAGACUCCUACGGGAGGCAGCAGUAGGGAAUCUUCCGCAAUGGGCGAAAGCCUGACGGAGCAACGCCGCGUGAGUGAUGAAGGUCUUCGGAUCGUAAAGCUCUGUUAUUAGGGAAGAACAUAUGUGUAAGUAACUGUGCACAUCUUGACGGUACCUAAUCAAAAAGCCACGGCUAACUACGUG